rfam:Terrisporobacter sp. 08-306576 Contig128, whole genome shotgun sequence.
GAAAAUACGAUGAAAAAGAGAGUAGACUAUAUGUUGAUUUAUAGAGAACAAAGGAUGGUGGAAGCUUUGUAUGAUACUUUAGUUGAAGAACACUUUGGAGUGGUUAGCCGAAAUUUAUAUUAAAGAGUAGGCCUAAACGGAAUCCUACCGUUAUCUAGGAAACGUAUCGAAAAUUAAUUCUGUACGUAAUUAAGGUGGACUAAAAAUAGUCAACUAGGGUGGUACCGCGUAAAUAUCACGUCCCUAUA